rnacentral:rRNA from 1 species
UACGAAGGGCGCUAGCGUUGUUCGGAAUCACUGGGCGUAAAGCGCACGUAGGCGGAUGUGUCAGUCAGGGGUGAAAUCCCGGAGCUCAACUUCGGAACUGCCUUUGAUACAGCACGUCUUGAGUCCGAUAGAGGUGGGUGGAAUUCCUAGUGUAGAGGUGAAAUUCGUAGAUAUUAGGAAGAACACCGGUGGCGAAGGCGGCCCACUGGAUCGGUACUGACGCUGAGGUGCGAAAGCGUGGGGAGCAAACAGG